UCUUGUUAAGAUGCAGAUUCU
rnacentral:miRNA from 1 species